GAUGAAGAACGUAGUGAAAUGCGAUAAGUAAUGUGAAUUGCAGAAUUCAGUGAAUCAUCGAAUCUUUGAACGCACCUUGCGCCCUUUGGCUAUUCCGAAGGGCAUGCCUGUUUGAGUAUCAUGAACACCUCAACUCCUCAUGGCUUGCCAUGAUGAGCUUGGACUUGGGGGUCUUGCUGGCCUGUGGUCAGCUCCACUCAAAUGAAUCAGCUUGCCAGUGAUUGGUGGCACCACAGGUGUGAUAAACAUCUACGCUUGUGGUUCCCCACCAUGUAACCUUUAGCGAUAGAGGUUCGCUGGAGCUCACAAAUGUCUUUCCUCAGUGAAGACAGCUCUUUGAUUGUUUGAUCUCAAAUCAGGUAGGACUACCCGCUGAACUUAAGCAUAUCAAUAAGCGGAGGA
rnacentral:misc_RNA from 1 species